CCGCUGUCAAACUAAUGUUCUGGGCGCCGAUUGGUCGAAAUCCGAGACGGGCGGGGAUUCCUGGCAUCUUAUUGGCUUCACGACGCGCUAGGCUGUAGCCACAACCACCCCUUUGGGAGCUUGGCGGAAUUAAGUGCCAAGUGAUACAAGCCGGAGAGCACGCAAUCACCGUGCAUCUUUGGGCGUAAUGCUCGGGCGCUUUCUUGUCCAGAGGGGCCUGAUCAGAGCUGGCAGGAGCCGUUUGCCUCUCAGCUGUGAUGUUUGUAGGAGAAGCUGCUCUGAUACCUGCAGCAAGUCGUGGUGAAAUCUCACUGAUGAGGGCCUUGUCUUGAGCCCUUCUAUUCACUCAAGAGGUCCUGGGGAGAACACUGAAAACGAGGCAAUUGUGACACUCCUGAAGAGCAGUGCUGACACGGAGCACACAGCUUUACAACACAACAAAUAACUAAGCACAGCUCACUGACAUCCCGGUCUUCCACACGCCACACAACAGCCGUUUUCAUCCUCCAGCAUGGAAACCCAAUUUCACUGCUUGCGGCUGAGCUAUCCUGCUACCUGUUGGCAGCUCAGUGGCUGCUCA